UUGGUUUCUUAAUACAAACCCUUCAAUUCUAAUUUCUCUCCUCCCCAAUCUAAUUUUUCUUUUCCCAAUCCCUUCUCAUCAAUGUUACUUCUUCUCCCAAUUUAUAUACAAUGGAACAAACAAGAGGACAGAGGAAGUCGAACCAGAACCGUCCCCUUCUUAACCCUAACCCCUAAACAGCAAAAUACUAAUUUCACAAAACUAUUGUGCUCGUCUUCUUCGUCAGCUAAUCUUCUAACUGAGUGAAAUAAUUGAAGGGGAAUCGGUGGUGAUGGAAGGUAACACUCAAGAUUCGUCGCCUCAGUCUUUUGGAAAGGCUAAUAGAGUUUUGUGGCGAGCGGUUAUCAUUUAUGAGCAAUUAUUCAAAUUUCGUCAAGCUUUAUAAACCACUUACCUCCUGGUCUAACUGUGAUGUUGAGGAAUUCAUCGCUUUUGAUCCUGUUCAUGGACUUGUGGUUUUGGAUGGCUGUUAUGAUAAGUUUUGCUCUUGGAGGUGUAAAUGGUUUGCUUGGACUAAUGAAGGGUCUGUCAACAACGGUAUUCUAAUGCCCGCGGACGAGAGGACAAAAUAUAGUCACCACUAGGAUCUUUGUCAACAGGAUCCCUUGGAAGCUUGAACGACGAUGAUUCAUCUGAGGUAGCUACGCUUCUUGAAUUAGUUGAGGGAGCAAUAAAGUAGAGGAAGAGAAAUUAAAGGUUUCUCUGUUACAUUUAUGUAUUAUUUUAUACAUAAGCACUUAUAAGAUAAGCGGUUUUCCCAUGUAAUUGCAUAUUACAGAAGGAGUUAAUAGUUCUCAUGAUGAGUGGAGGAGAUUUUAGAGUAUCGGUUUUUCCCGUUGCGAAGAGUAUUUUUACUUGGAUAAAGGCUAUACUGAUGAAUUUCAUUGUGUUUGAUAAGACAAGAACUCCUAUUGUUGGAAAGCCAAUGGUUGUAACUUCAAAAACAUGUCAGUUAGAGAUUUCUAUAAAUUUGUGGCUUCUGAGCAAAGGGUUAAGAUAAAAACAAU